UACGUAGGUGGCAAGCGUUGUCCGGAUUUACUGGGCGUAAAGAGCGCGCAGGCGGUCAAGUAAGUCGAAUGUGAAAGCCCCUGGCUCAACCAGGGAGGGUCGUUCGAUACUGCUCGACUCGAAGGCAGGAGAGGGAAGUGGAAUUCCGGGUGUAGUGGUGAAAUGCGUAGAUAUCCGGAGGAACACCAGUGGCGAAGGCGACUUUCUGGCCUGUUCUUGACGCUGAGGCGCGAAAGCUAGGGGAGCAAACGGG
rnacentral:rRNA from 1 species